GGCGGCGUGCUGUUCUGCUUGCUUCUGGCAUCUCCCAAAAGGAGACAAUCUAUGGAGAAUCCAGAUGAUGCCAAGACCUCUAUCUCAUCAUACUAAGUGCUGUUGCAGCAGUACAACUGCAGGUGCCCUCCUGAUGCAGAGCUCUUACCAUGAAGACGUUUGAUUGCAGAUCAAUCCAGAUCUUGGUCUGUUGGAAGUGACACCAUUUGCAGUAUGUAUGUCUUAACAGAACCAUUUGGACAGCCAAGGAACAGCAAAACAGAGUUGACCCAUUUAUGUGGUCAACACUGAUGCUUUUCCAGGCUGUGUCCAUGCAGCAAAGCUGCUAAUUACUGAUCUCCUGAUUAAGAAUAAGUCUUAGGGUUGGGUGGUUGCCUAAAUUGGGUGCUCUGUAGCCUCUCAGGCCCCAGUUGAGUGCUGCUGUUGGCUGGAAUGGUACGUGUGGGCACACACAGCACCUUCAGUCUUCUGCCAGCUCUCGGGGUGUCUGAGCUGCUGUUGAUGUUAAUUUUAAUUAAAGCACCCAAAUACCUCCCUUCAUUUAGGCUUAGCCGACAGACCAACCUGAAAGCUGCACAGACAGCAGGCAACAGAUGGGAAGAGGAAUGGCAAAAAGCCACCCCAAUCAGAAGUGGAAGCUGGGUGGGUUUGUGUCUACGAGCAGCAAUGAAAACCACUCUGAUCUUAAUCCCAAUUAAUCCUUUGUCCGACUGGGUCAGAGCUCUGGAAAUCAUUGGGUUUCCUACUUGUGCACUGCCUGAAUACAGAUUCAGCAUCCCAGAAUGAGCAGCUUUGUGCUGGGCGGAUUCUCAGAAGGAUUUUCAGAAUGAGACCCAUCCUGAAAUGGGAACGGCGACCACAUAGCAAAGAAAUCCCCGUUAGCCAUGAGCGGAAGCCUUUAAACGAGAACAUCCCUUCCCAUCUGGUUCCUGGAGGCUGCCGAGCAGCCAGCAGAUGCUCCUGGGCUAAUGUGAGCCCAAGUGCAUCAUAUUGUUUGGUAUUUAAGGACAAUUAGCUCGGGGGGCCUUCAAGCUGAAAUGCUGGAGAGCAGCCAGGGUGCGAAAGUGAGUUUGGAUGUGUGCUGAGUCCGGGAGGAAAUGGGGGAAUUUGGGAGCGUUUGGGAUCCGGUGCUUUCCACUUGGGUUUGAAUAACUUCCAUCCAGUCUCCAUAUGGGAGAAGCAACAAAUCCCCCCAACCCAAAGGUGUGGAAGGCUGCAACCACACACACCGCACAGCGUUCAGCACAGAAAAGCUGAUGUAACGCAGUGCAGCUCAGGGGAAACUUCAGCUUCAGAGCAUCCUUUUCCUGUAGGACCGCAAUGGGGCAGAAUUUGGGGUCUUACUGUUUUUUCCCACAUGGGAUUGGUUCCCGUUGUGUUUACUCUCACUGCUGCGGGGUGGGUCUCUUUAUUUAAUUUUCUCUUAUUUAUUUUUCGCUCUGCUUGCUUUAAGGACAAACCCCCAUUUCAGGGCUUUGUGCAGCACAGGCAGCUCUGCUCCGCUCUGGGAUAUGGCCACAAAGGGCCUCUCAGCUCCGCCAGCCCCGAAGAUGCUGCUGGAAUAUCAAUAAUCCCCCCCUUCUUGCCCCCCUUCGCAGCUCCUUUUGCCAUGUCAGUGUUUCCCCACGCCAGAUGGCUCCUCCUGAACUCCUCAUAUUUUACACACACACACUGAUUACAAUCUGCAGUUGUGAAGAGCUGCUUGUUUUGCUAAACCAGCUGUUUGGAUGAUUCCUUUGUUUCUGCCUCUUUAUUUAUUUUUUUCCCCUGGUGUGGGCUGUUUCUAUUUAAAUUC
ensembl:lncRNA